GGGUCAGUAGGUUGGUCGUGCCACCGGUACGUACUGGUCUCACUGAUUCCUCCUUCCUGAAGAACCGUAAUGCCAUUAAUUUGGUGUUGCGGGGAAACAGGACCGUUACUGUGAAAAAAUUAGAGUGUUUAAAGCAAGCUAACGCUUGAAUACAUUAGCAUGGAAUAAUGAAAUAGGACGAUCGAUCCUAUUUUGUUGGUUUCUAGGAUUGACGUA
rnacentral:rRNA from 1 species